CUAGCGUGGCAGAGCCGGUAACUGCAA
rnacentral:tRNA from 1 species